rnacentral:miRNA from 1 species
GCCCUGCCUCCUACCUGUGCUA